AGUGAACGCUGGCGGUAGGCCUAACACAUGCAAGUCGAACGGCAGCACAGGAGAGCUUGCUCUCUGGGUGGCGAGUGGCGGACGGGUGAGGAAUACAUCGGAAUCUGCCCAGUCGUGGGGGAUAACGUAGGGAAACUUACGCUAAUACCGCAUACGACCUUCGGGUGAAAGAGGGGGAUCGCAAGACCUCUCGCGAUUGGAUGAGCCGAUGUCGGAUUAGCUAGUUGGCGGGGUAAUGGCCCACCAAGGCGACGAUCCGUAGCUGGUCUGAGAGGAUGAUCAGCCACACUGGAACUGAGACACGGUCCAGACUCCUACGGGAGGCAGCAGUGGGGAAUAUUGGACAAUGGGCGCAAGCCUGAUCCAGCCAUACCGCGUGGGUGAAGAAGGCCUUCGGGUUGUAAAGCCCUUUUGUUGGGAAAGAAAUCUUUCAGGCUAAUACCCUGGGAGGAUGACGGUACCCAAAGAAUAAGCACAGGCUAACUUCGUG
rnacentral:rRNA from 1 species